rnacentral:rRNA from 1 species
GGGUUGUGAGGUUAAGCGACUAAGCGUACACGGUGGAUGCCCUGGCAGUCAGAGGCGAUGAAGGACGUGCUAAUCUGCGAAAAGCGUCGGUAAGGUGAUAUGAACCGUUAUAACCGGCGAUGUCCGAAUGGGGAAACCCAGUGCAAUUCGUUGCACUAUCGUUAACUGAAUACAUAGGUUAACGAGGCGAACCGGGGGAACUGAAACAUCUAAGUACCCCGAGGAAAAGAAAUCAACCGAGAUUCCCCCAGUAGCGGCGAGCGAACGGGGAGCAGCCCAGAGUCUGAAUCAGCUUGUGUGUUAGUGGAACGGUCUGGAAAGUCCGACGGUACAGGGUGAUAGUCCCGUACACCAAAAUGCACAGGUUGUGAACUCGAAGAGUAGGGCGGGACACGUGGUAUCCUGUCUGAAUAUGGGGGGACCAUCCUCCAAGGCUAAAUACUCCUGACUGACCGAUAGUGAACCAGUACCGUGAGGGAAAGGCGAAAAGAACCCCGGCGAGGGGAGUGAAAAAGAACCUGAAACCGUGUACGUACAAGCAGUGGGAGCACCUUCGGGUGUGACUGCGUACCUUUUGUAUAAUGGGUCAGCGACUUAUAUUCUGUAGCAAGGUUAACCGUAUAGGGGAGCCGCAGGGAAACCGAGUCUUAACUGGGCGUUAAGUUGCAGGGUAUAGACCCGAAACCCGGUGAUCUAGCCAUGGGCAGGUUGAAGGUUGGGUAACACUAACUGGAGGACCGAACCGACUAAUGUUGAAAAAUUAGCGGAUGACUUGUGGCUGGGGGUGAAAGGCCAAUCAAACCGGGAGAUAGCUGGUUCUCCCCGAAAGCUAUUUAGGUAGCGCCUCGUGAAUUCAUCUUCGGGGUAGAGCACUGUUUCGGCUAGGGGGUCAUCCCGACUUACCAACCCGAUGCAAACUACGAAUACCGAAGAAUGUUAUCACGGGAGACACACGGCGGGUGCUAACGUCCGUCGUGAAGAGGGAAACAACCCAGACCGCCAGCUAAGGUCCCAAAGUCAUGGUUAAGUGGGAAACGAUGUGGGAAGGCACAGACAGCCAGGAUGUUGGCUUAGAAGCAGCCAUCAUUUAAAGAAAGCGUAAUAGCUCACUGGUCGAGUCGGCCUGCGCGGAAGAUGUAACGGGGCUAAACCAUGCACCGAAGCUGCGGCAGCGACACUAUGUGUUGUUGGGUAGGGGAGCGUUCUGUAAGCCUGCGAAGGUGUGCUGUGAGGCAUGCUGGAGGUAUCAGAAGUGCGAAUGCUGACAUAAGUAACGAUAAAGCGGGUGAAAAGCCCGCUCGCCGGAAGACCAAGGGUUCCUGUCCAACGUUAAUCGGGGCAGGGUGAGUCGACCCCUAAGGCGAGGCCGAAAGGCGUAGUCGAUGGGAAACAGGUUAAUAUUCCUGUACUUGGUGUUACUGCGAAGGGGGGACGGAGAAGGCUAUGUUAGCCGGGCGACGGUUGUCCCGGUUUAAGCAUGUAGGCUGGUUAUCCAGGCAAAUCCGGAUAAUCAAGGCUGAGGUGUGAUGACGAGGCACUACGGUGCUGAAGUAACAAAUGCCCUGCUUCCAGGAAAAGCCUCUAAGCAUCAGGUAACAUCAAAUCGUACCCCAAACCGACACAGGUGGUCAGGUAGAGAAUACCAAGGCGCUUGAGAGAACUCGGGUGAAGGAACUAGGCAAAAUGGUGCCGUAACUUCGGGAGAAGGCACGCUGGUGUGUAGGUGAAGUCCCUGCGGAUGGAGCUGAGACCAGUCGAAGAUACCAGCUGGCUGCAACUGUUUAUUAAAAACACAGCACUGUGCAAACACGAAAGUGGACGUAUACGGUGUGACGCCUGCCCGGUGCCGGAAGGUUAAUUGAUGGGGUUAUCCGUAAGGAGAAGCUCUUGAUCGAAGCCCCGGUAAACGGCGGCCGUAACUAUAACGGUCCUAAGGUAGCGAAAUUCCUUGUCGGGUAAGUUCCGACCUGCACGAAUGGCGUAAUGAUGGCCAGGCUGUCUCCACCCGAGACUCAGUGAAAUUGAACUCGCUGUGAAGAUGCAGUGUACCCGCGGCAAGACGGAAAGACCCCGUGAACCUUUACUAUAGCUUGACACUGAACAUUGAGCCUUGAUGUGUAGGAUAGGUGGGAGGCUUUGAAGCGUGGACGCCAGUCUGCGUGGAGCCAACCUUGAAAUACCACCCUUUAAUGUUUGAUGUUCUAACGUUGGCCCCUUACCGGGGUUGCGGACAGUGUCUGGUGGGUAGUUUGACUGGGGCGGUCUCCUCCCAAAGCGUAACGGAGGAGCACGAAGGUUAGCUAAUCCUGGUCGGACAUCAGGAGGUUAGUGCAAUGGCAUAAGCUAGCUUGACUGCGAGCGUGACGGCGCGAGCAGGUGCGAAAGCAGGUCAUAGUGAUCCGGUGGUUCUGAAUGGAAGGGCCAUCGCUCAACGGAUAAAAGGUACUCCGGGGAUAACAGGCUGAUACCGCCCAAGAGUUCAUAUCGACGGCGGUGUUUGGCACCUCGAUGUCGGCUCAUCACAUCCUGGGGCUGAAGUAGGUCCCAAGGGUAUGGCUGUUCGCCAUUUAAAGUGGUACGCGAGCUGGGUUUAGAACGUCGUGAGACAGUUCGGUCCCUAUCUGCCGUGGGCGCUGGAGAAUUGAGGGGGGCUGCUCCUAGUACGAGAGGACCGGAGUGGACGCAUCACUGGUGUUCGGGUUGUCAUGCCAAUGGCACUGCCCGGUAGCUAAAUGCGGAAGAGAUAAGUGCUGAAAGCAUCUAAGCACGAAACUUGCCCCGAGAUGAGUUCUCCCUGAGACUUUAAGUCUCCUGAAGGAACGUUAAAGACGAUGACGUUGAUAGGCCGGGUGUGUAAGCGCAGCGAUGCGUUGAGCUAACCGGUACUAAUGAACCGUGAGGCUUAACCUUACAACGCCGAAG